CUCAAGUGAUAACUUCUUUUAUGAGCCAAGUGUCUGGGCCACCUAAUGUUUGUGAUGGUGUUGAGGAACUGAUGGG